GGGAAGUUGGCUCAGUGGUAGAGAGCUUGCCUUGCAUGCAUGAGGCCCUGGGUUCGAU
rnacentral:tRNA from 1 species